rnacentral:rRNA from 1 species
UACGUAGGGGGCGAGCGUUAUCCGGAUUUACUGGGCGUAAAGCGCGUUAAGGCGGCCGGCAAAGUUGAGGGUGAAAUUUCGGGGCUCAACCCUGAAACUGCCUCCAAUACUGGUCGGCUAGAGUACGAGAGAGGAAGGUGGAAUUCCCGGUGUAGUAGUGAAAUGCGUAGAUAUCGGGAGGAACACCAGUGGCGAAGGCGGCCUUCUGGCUCGUAACUGACGCUGUAGCGCGAAAGCGUGGGGAGCGAACAGG